CAGGCAGAGGCGACCGGCAGCUCCAGCUCCUUCCAGAAACUCGAGCAGAUCGUCACCGCGCUGGCGGCGGGGCGGGAGGCACUGCUCUCCCGGGAGGUGGCCGCGCUGCUGGACGGCCUGAUGGGGCGCGCAGAGGUGCUGUCUCCAGGGGACCUUCAGUCAGUGUGCAUGUUCGUCGAGGAGAGCAGCCUGGGACGGCGCCACUGGAGGCAGAACCUGGC
rnacentral:lncRNA from 1 species